UGUCCCCAGGAAGCCUCCUGGGCAACGACCCCGCCAGCCGCCCCAGCCCCCUUUCCCCGCAAUCUAACGCUGGCCUGCCACUGGGUCUGUGAAGGGGCUCCCGUGUGCCGCACUCCACGCACAAUCCCUGACCUAACCGGGUCCGACAACCUGCUGGUGAGGAAGUGAAAUAGAUCCACACCCACAGAAAGACUCCUGCGAAACGGACACUAAUCGCAGCAUUGUUCACCACAGCCAGAGACUGGAACCACCGGCCUGACUAUCACCAGGACUGUUUAGAUAAAUGAUUAUGUUCAGACAAUGGACUAUGUGAAGAAUGCUCUCCCACUGCUGAUCUGGAAAGAUCUCCAAGGUAUAUUGUUAAGUUAAAAAAAAAAAAGAAUGAAAGAAAGAAAGCAAAGGA